CGUGUAGGCGGUCCGGUAAGUCGGCUGUGAAAGUCCAGGGCUCAACCCUGGGAUGCCGGUCGAUACUGCCGGACUAGAGUUCGGAAGAGGCGAGUGGAAUUCCCGGUGUAGCGGUGAAAUGCGCAGAUAUCGGGAGGAACACCUAUGGCGAAGGCAGCUCGCUGGGACGUUACUGACGCCGAGACGCGAAAGCGUGGGGAGCAAACA
rnacentral:rRNA from 1 species